rnacentral:rRNA from 1 species
UACGUAGGCAGCGAGCGUUGUUCGGAAUUACUGGGCGUAAAGAGUGUGUAGGUGGUGAUCUAAGUCUGUCGUGAAAUCUCCCGGCUUAACUGGGAGGGUGCGGCGGAAACUGGAUCGCUAGAGUAUGGGAGAGGUAAGCGGAAUUCCUGGUGUAGCGGUGAAAUGCGUAGAUAUCAGGAGGAACACCGGUGGCGAAGGCGGUCUUCUGGGACGGUAAC